GUGUCAAUAAUUGCGUGAAAGCCAGUGCAGCAAGUUGUAGAUCAAUUGAAGUUUGCCAUAAAAAGGCAUUAAGAUGUGCCUCCAGGACAGUGAUAUACUGAGGAAUUUAUCGGGCAAUGGUGUCUGCUUUGAUUUAGUAUCAAUAAUGGAGAUAGGUGUUAAAAGACUGACCAUUCCAUGAAGAGACAUUCUCUUCAGGACAGCAAAUCUCUUUUCACUGACGUGUUUGUUAGCACAAGUCAAUGAGGGUGUAAAUUUGAUCCCCUACCUCUCUUGGUCUCUGCUGCUCUUAGGUCUGUUGAGGUAGAGGUCUUUUCUGAUGAACCUCAGCUCUGGGAAGUGGAUGACAACUAUAACUUCCAAGAGCACCCUUUGCAUCCUGGCCAUCCUGAGUAAAUAGAGCCUAUACACAGCUUUUAAGGAAGGGGAAGAGAACCCCCCCGAAAAGACUUUUUCCCCAAGGAAGGACCGAAAGCAACUGCAAUCAGGAAGCAUAGGGGAUCCCUGGAAUUAGACUGCGAGUUGAGGGAAGUAUUAUUUAAAGUAUGUAGCUGCCUGGUACCUCAGCCUCUCCUUCCUCAUAUUUCACUCCUCAGGUUUGGUGUCUCCUCUUUUCACAGGAAAGUAAAUAUCUCUUCAGCGUUUGGGGGUUGCUGCUGCUGGCUUCAUACAGACCCAUUAAACGGUGGUGCUCACAGUUGCUGCCUGACUGUCCAGACUGAUCAGAUCUCUUCAUUGUGUGCACUCAAGUGUCAGCCAGUGCCAUACUGACUGGUGUAUGGUUUGGUGUGGAGAUUACUGAUGAAGAAUUUGUGCUGCUACUUGACAGAAUCCCCCUUGAUGAAGAUGGAAAUGUCAGAUACCACCAGUUCAUGGCCAGGUUUGAUUCCUGGUUACUUCACCACCAUGUUUUUAAUAGACCAUUUCAGGCAUAAAGAGCAGCACAAGGUGACUGAUAUUUGAGAGAAGCUCAGAGAGACCAGGUUUCUUAGAAAACAGCAUGGAAUGACAGUAUGGGAAGAUUUCACAUGGUACAAUGAACAUUUCCUGUGUUAUGUACAUCUAUUGAUAUUAUCUUAGUUUGACCUGUCCAGAGAUUUUGAAAGAGAAGUUCACUUUCGUCUUCCCAGCUUUAUCUUUGCUUCUUUUUAGGUUCUGCUUACAGAACCAGCACAUUAGUCACACUCCUUCUACACCAUUCUAAACCUCUACAUUCCUUCUAAACCUCAAACAAGUUGCCAGUGGGACCUGAGUCAUGUGUGGGCCUUGUCAUGGCCUUUUUCUAAAUAGCUGGAAUACUUUUUUCCUGCUAAGAUGACAUUAUAAAGGGGUGCAGUUGUGUAGGAGGUUUUGAUAUAACUUUAAAAUCACAUUUAAUCUCUACGCAUGUAAGAUUUCUGCAAGGAAAUUUCUUGUAUUUUGAUGACAGUAGUAAAGAAUUAUGUCAAG